UUAACUCAAAUUUCUAUGGAGUUGGAACGUUAGUCUACGUUUGACGCUAGAGGCGCUGUUCCAACUCCACACAAAUUUAUGUUA
rfam:Bombyx mori DNA, contig: Bm_scaf26_contig16927, strain: p50T/Dazao, build 2, whole genome shotgun sequence.